GGAGCUAGCCGUCGAAGGUGGGACAAAUGAUUGGGGUGAAGUCGUAACAAGGUAGCCGUAUCGGAAGGUGCGGCUGGAUCACCUCCUUUCUAAGGA
rnacentral:rRNA from 6 species